rnacentral:lncRNA from 1 species
CUCAAUAAAAUAAAGACCAUCUCUCAGGAAUAAGUAAAUAAAAUUGUUAAUAUGGAAAUAAGAGUUCAAACUAUCUAUAAUAACAAAUCUUCAUCAUCAGUUUCUGGUUCUGAUUCACUGACUUCAAUAAUAUCAUGAGCCAAGGUAACAUCAGUACGGAUAACAUCAAGAUCAUUUCUUUUCCAAUUCAUAAUGUCUUCAUCAUCCUCACAUAUAUGCAAUAACUCAUUACAAGCAUCUUGUUGAAAAGUAUCUUCAUCAAUAGCACCUCCGGUAAAAUAGGUAGAAUGACCAUUCAAAACAAUUGACCAACUAGGAUGAAGAUGGUCCUU